rnacentral:rRNA from 1 species
AUGCAGGCGCUGCUGGUGGCAGAAGAUGGGUAUCAAGGUGUUGUGGGCAACUUCCACUGUGUUCGGUUGAGGUCAUCAGAGUUAGUUGAAGCUAUGGAGCCCAAGUUGGUCUCCAUUGGCAAGGUGGCUGCUGAGUUCAACCUUGCUACUUCUGGUUCUGAUGAUGUGUUGGCUGUUAAAAAGGGUGCCACGUUGACCAGAGGGGACGAUGCCAUUGUUCAUGCCCCCUCGAAGCUGAUCAAAGGUCUGCUUAUCAUGCCUUCGAUCACCCAAGGUUUGAGCCGCCUUGUCAAUGAGAGUAAAGUCAAGAAUGUCAACCAGGGGAUUAAUGUCUCCUUGGGAAAUGUGACAACCUUGCAAGAUGUUAGUCUCAAGGAUGUGUUUCUCGCUCAGGUAUUUUUUUCUUUAUUUUGGGAGUAG